rnacentral:misc_RNA from 1 species
GAUGAAGAACGCAGCGAAAUGCGAUAAGUAGUGUGAAUUGCAGAAUUCAGUGAUUCAUCGAAUCUUUGAACGCACAUUGCGCCCCUUGGUAUUCCGAGGGGCAUGCCUGUUCGAGCAUCAUUAUCACCCCUCAAGCUUUGCUUGGUGUUGGGGCCUGCUGUAAUAGGCAGCCCUUAAAAUCAGUGGCGGUGCUUCAAGGCUCUAAGCGUAGUAAUUCUCCUCGCUAUAGUGUCUAGUGGUUGCCAGCCAGAACCCCCCAAUUUUCAUGAUUGACCUCGGAUCAGGUAGGGAUACCCGCUGAACUUAAGCAUAUCAAUAAGCGGAGGA